rnacentral:rRNA from 1 species
ACUCAAAUGAAUAGACGGGGGCCCGCACAAGCGGAGGAACAUGUGGUUUAAUUCGAUGAUACGCGAGGAACCUUACCCGGGCUCGAACGGCCGAUGAAUAAAGAUAAAAGUCUUUAGUCGCAAGACAUCGGUCGAGGUGCUGCAUGGUUGUCGUCAGCUCGUGCCGUGAGGUGUCGGCUUAAGUGCCAUAACGAGCGCAACCCUUAUCAUUAGUUACUAGCAGGUCAAGCUGAGGACUCUAAUGAGACUGCCACCGUAAGGUGUGAGGAAGGUGGGGAUGACGUCAAAUCAGCACGGCCCUUACGUCCGGGGCUACACACGUGUUACAAUGGGCAGAACAGCGGGAUGCUACACGGCGACGUGAUGCUAAUCUUGAAAAACUGCUCUCAGUUCGGAUCGGAGUCUGCAACUCGACUCCGUGAAGCCGGAUUCGCUAGUAAUCGCGCAUCAGCCAUGGCGCGGUGAAUACGUUCCCGGGCCUUGUACACACCGCCCGU